UACCUGUCUCCUGAAGUGGGAUAACCCUUGGAAACGGGGGCUAAUACCACGUAACAUUCGGGGAACGCAUGUUUUCCGAAUCAACCUAUGGGGAUUCGCAAGGACCUGUAGCCCAUUGAGGGGUCGAUGUCCUAUCAGCUUGUUGGCGGGGUAAUGGCCCACCAAGGCAAAGACGGGUAGCUGGCCUUAGAGGGUGGUCAGCCACAUUGGGACUGAGACACUGCCCAGACUCCUACGGGAGGCUGCAGUCGAGAAUCUUCGGCAAUGGGGGAAACCCUGACCGAGCGACGCCGCGUGGAGGAUGAAGGCCUUCGGGUUGUAAACUCCUGUCAGGCGUUAUGAAACCAUCCGCGUGAACAACGCGGAGGGUUGACAAAGGCGCCAGAGGAAGUCACGGCUAACUCUGUGCCAGCAGCCGCGGUAAGACAGAGGUGACAAGCGUUGUUCGAAAUUACUGGGCAUACAGGGCAUGUAGGCGGCCUGAUCCGUCAGAGGUGAAAUCCCUUGGCUCAACCAAGGAAUUGCCUUUGAUACCAUCAGGCUUGAGGACGAGAGGGGAGAGUGGAAUUCCGGGUGGGUAGCGGUGAAAUGCGUAGAUAUCCGGAGGAACACCGGUGGCGAAGGCGACUCUCUGGUUCGUCCCUGACGCUGAGGGUGCGAAAGCCAGGGGAUCAAACGGGAUUA
rnacentral:rRNA from 1 species